rnacentral:snRNA from 1 species
AUGUCUAAGGACAUCAACAUUGAUUAUUCCUAUUUUUGGUCAGAGGGCGGUUUCCUCUGUGCUUGCACACGAUCCCGCCCACUGUGUCCCUGGUAUUACACUGCCUCCAGGUGACGCGAACUACAU